rnacentral:tRNA from 1 species
GGGGGUGUAGCUCAGUUGGCUAGAGCAUUUGAAUGGCAUUCAAAAGGCCAGCGGUUCGAUUCCGCUCACCUCCA